rnacentral:rRNA from 1 species
AACGAACGCUGGCGGCAUGCCUAACACAUGCAAGUCGAACGAACCCUUCGGGUCUAGUGGCGCACGGGUGCGUCACGCGUGGGAACCUGCCCUUAGGUUCGGCCUAACUCCCCGACAGGGGUGCUAAUACCGGAUAAUGUCUUCGGACCAAAGAUUUAUCGCAUUUGGAUGGGCCCGCGUUGGAUUAGCUAGUUGGUAGGGUAAAAGCCUACCACGGCGACGAUCCAUAGCUGGUCUGAGAGGAUGAUCAGCCACACUGGGACUGAGACACGGCCCAGACUCCUACGGGAGGCAGCAGUGGGGAAUAUUGGACAAUGGGCGGAAGCCUGAUCCAGCAAUGCCGCGUGAGUGAUGAAAGCCGUAGAGUUGUAAAGCUCUUGUACCCGGGAUGAUAAUGACAGUACCGGGAGAAUAAGCUCCGGCUAACUCCGUG